GACGAACGCUGGCGGCGUGCUUAACACAUGCAAGUCGAGCGGUAAGGCCCUUUCGGGGUACGACGAGCGGCGAACGGGUAGGAGUAACAACGUGGGUGGACCUCGCCCUCCAGCUCUGGGAGUAAGACCUCGGGAAACCGGGUACGUAAUAACUGGAGUAUGACUCCAUGACGCAUGUUGUGGGGUGGGAAAGCCUUGUGCGGCUGAGGAUGGGCCCGGCCGGCCUAUCAGCUUGUUGGU
rnacentral:rRNA from 1 species